rnacentral:rRNA from 1 species
AUUGAACGCUAGCGGGAUGCCUUACACAUGCAAGUCGAACGGAGUGGCGAACGGGUGAGUAAUGUAUCGGAACGUGCCCAGUAGCGGGGGAUAACUACGCGAAAGCGUAGCUAAUACCGCAUACUAUUGGAGCGGCCGAUAUCGGAUUAACUAGUUGGGGGGGUAACGGCUCACCAAGGCGACGAUCCGUAGCUGGUUUGAGAGGACGACCAGCCACACGUGGACUUAGACAAGGCCCAGACUCCGACGUGAGGCAGCAGUGGGGAAUUUUGGAGAAUGGGGGAAACCCUGAUCCAGCCAUCCUGCGUGUGCGAUGAAGGCCUUCGGGUUGUAAAGCACUUUUGGCAGGAGAGCGGUACCUGCAGAAUAUGCACCGGCUAACUACGUGCCAGCAGCCGCGGUAAUAC